rnacentral:rRNA from 1 species
GGGUGCGAUCAUACCCGCAUUAAUGCACUGGAUCCCAUAAGAACUCCGCAGUUAAGCGCGCUUGGGAUAGAAUAGUACUGGGAUGGGUGACCUCCCAUGAAGUCCUAGUGUUGCACCCU